CGGCGUGCCUAAUACAUGCAAGUCGAGCGAAUGGAUUAAGAGCUUGCUCUUAUGAAGUUAGCGGCGGACGGGUGAGUAACACGUGGGUAACCUGCCCAUAAGACUGGGAUAACUCCGGGAAACCGGGGCUAAUACCGGAUAAUAUUUUGAACUGCAUGGUUCGAAAUUGAAAGGCGGCUUCGGCUGUCACUUAUGGAUGGACCCGCGUCGCAUUNGCUAGUUGGUGAGGUAACGGCUCACCAAGGCAACGAUGCGUAGCCGACCUGAGAGGGUGAUCGGCCACACUGGGACUGAGACACGGCCCAGACUCCUACGGGAGGCAGCAGUAGGGAAUCUUCCGCAAUGGACGAAAGUCUGACGGAGCAACNCCGCGUGAGUGAUGAAGGCUUUCGGGUCGAAAACUCUGUUGUUAUGGAAGAACAAGUGCUAGUUGAAUAAACUGGCACCUUGACGGU
rnacentral:rRNA from 1 species